GAUGAACGCUGGCGGCGUGCCUAAUACAUGCAAGUCGAGCGAAUGGAUUAAGAGCUUGCUCUUAUGAAGUUAGCGGCGGACGGGUGAGUAACACGUGGGUAACCUGCCCAUAAGACUGGGAUAACUCCGGGAAACCGGGGCUAAUACCGGAUAACAUUUUGAGCCGCAUGGUUCGAAAUUGAAAGGCGGCUUCGGCUGUCACUUAUGGAUGGACCCGCGUCGCAUUAGCUAGUUGGUGAGGUAACGGCUCACCAAGGCAACGAUGCGUAGCCGACCUGAGAGGGUAAUCGACCACACUGGGACGGAGACACGGCCCAGACUCCUACGGGAGGCAGCAGUAGGGAAUCUUCCGCAAUGGACGAAAGUCUGACGGAGCAACGCCGCGUGAGUGAUGAAGGCUUUCGGGUCGUAAAACUCUGUUGUUAGGGAAGAACAAGUGCUAGUUGAAUAAGCUGGCACCUUGACGGUACCUAACCAGAAAGCCACGGCUAACUACGUGCCAGCCGCCGCCGUAA
rnacentral:rRNA from 1 species